rnacentral:rRNA from 1 species
AUUGAACGCUGGCGGCAGGCUUAACACAUGCAAGUCGAGCGGGGUGAUGGUGCUUGCACUAUCACUUAGCGGCGGACGGGUGAGUAAUGCUUAGGAAUCUGCCUAUUAGUGGGGGACAACAUCUCGAAAGGGAUGCUAAUACCGCAUACGUCCUACGAGAGAAAGCAGGGGAUCACUUGUGAUCUUGCGCUAAUAGAUGAGCCUAAGUCGGAUUAGCUAGUUGGUGGGGGAAGGGCCUACCAAGGCGACGAUCUGUAGCGGGUCUGAGAGGAUGAGCCGCCACACUGGGACUGAGACACGGCCCAGAAUCCUACGGGAGGCAGCAGGGGGGAAUAUUGGACAAUGGGGGGAACCCUGAUCCAGCCAUGCCGCGUGUGUGAAGAAGGCCUUAUGGUUGUAAAGCACUUUAAGCGAGGAGGAGGCUCUUUUGGUUAAUACCCAAGAUGAGUGGACGUUACUCGCAGAAUAAGCACCGGCUAACUCUGUGCCAGCAGCCGCCGUAA